AGUGAACGCUGGCGGCGUGCUUAACACGUGCAAGUCGAACGAGAACGGGAUAUAGCUUGCUAUAUUUGUCAGCUAAGUGGCGCACGGGUGAGUAAUGUAUAGAUAACCUGCCCUCUAGAAAGGAAUAACAGUUGGAAACGACUGCUAAUGCCCUAUAUGCCUUUAAUACAUAAGUAUGCAAGGGAAACGCUUUAGUGCUAGAGGAUGGGUCUGUAUGGUAUCAGCUUGUUGGUGAGGUAAUGGCUCACCAAGGCUAUGACGCCUAACUGGUUUGAGAGGAUGAUCAGUCACACUGGAACUGAGACACGGUCCAGACUCCUACGGGAGGCGGCAGUGGGGAAUAUUGCACAAUGGACGAAAGUCUGAUGCAGCAACGCCGCGUGGAGGAUGACACAUUUCGGUGCGUAAACUCCUUUUAUAUAGGAAGAUAAUGACGGUACUAUAUGAAUAAGCACCGGCUAACUCCGUGCCAGCCGCCGCGGUAA
rnacentral:rRNA from 1 species